GCCCUCGUAGCCCAACGGCAGAGGCACCGGAUUCAGGAUCCGGCCAGUGCGCGUUCGACUCGCGCCGAGGGCA
rnacentral:tRNA from 1 species